rnacentral:piRNA from 1 species
UGGUGACAAUGGACCAAGUAAAUAUAGCUGC